UUGGUGCACAUAACGCAGUCU
rnacentral:siRNA from 1 species